UACGAAGAAGACAAGUCACCACUUCAACUAUGGCAUCAUGAAGUUUAGGAAAUCGUAACAAUUCCUAUAAAUGGUAGAUGAAAGAAAAAUCAGGAUCUACCUUCUGCUUCCCUGGAAAGGAUGAAUUUACAUCAUUUGACAAGACCUAUUUUCAAGUUACUUAUUGUUUGUUUGCUUGUUUUUGUAGCCUAAAAUAAAAAUUUCAAAUACAAUUUUAGUUCUUACAAGAUAAUGUCUUAAUUUUGUACCAAUUCAGGUAGAAGCAGAGGCCUAGCUUGAAUUAAGGGUUAUACUCAGUUUUUACCACAUUAGUGAAAAGGGUACCAGCUGUGGAAAGAGAUACUAUACUAAUAAGCAAGUGUAAAAAAAA